rnacentral:rRNA from 1 species
CCUACGGGUGGCAGCAGUGAGGAAUAUUGGUCAAUGGGCGCGAGCCUGAACCAGCCAAGUCGCGUGAGGGAAGACGGUCCUAUGGAUUGUAAACCUCUUUUGUCGGGGAGCAAAAGACGCCACGCGUGGCGUUCCGAGAGUACCCGAAGAAAAAGCAUCGGCUAACUCCGUGCCAGCAGCCGCGGUAAUACGGAGGAUGCGAGCGUUAUCCGGAUUUAUUGGGUUGAAAGGGUGCGCAGGCGGAAGAUCAAGUCAGCGGUAAAAUUGAGAGGCUCAACCAUGAGAGUGCGGCGCGAACUGGAGACCUUGAGUGCGCGGAAGGCAGGCGGAAUUCGUGGUGUAGCGGUGAAAUGCUUAGAUAUCACGAAGAACCCCGAUUGCGAAGGCAGCCUGCCGCAGCGUUACUGACGCUGAAGCUCGAAAGCGCGGGUAUCGAACAGGAUUAGAUACCCUUGUAGUC